UGGUCCAUCCUAAUCCCUGCCGGUCCACCUGUGGCCUGCCAGGUUUCACUUGGGGACCAGAGCUCUCUGGAAGCCUCACCCAUAGAAGCGAGCAGGGCUUCAGUGGGCUUGUGCCGGGGCAUUUCUGGAUACUC
ensembl:snoRNA